AUAUCUUAUGAAAGGAGAGAAAGUUAGCACUCCCCUUGACAAGAAUGGAAGAGGCCCUCGGUCCUAACAGCAUACAUAGUUACCUCUGGCAUUGCCACCUCCUUCGUAGCAUCUAACCAUCAUUUUGA
rnacentral:ncRNA from 1 species